GCUAUAGCCAAACGGUAAGGCAGCGGACUCUGACUCCGUCAUUUUGCAGGUUCGAAUCCUGCUAGC
rnacentral:tRNA from 1 species